rnacentral:rRNA from 1 species
ACUCAAAUGAAUAGACGGGGAGCCGCACAAGCGGUGGAGCGUGUUGUUUAAUUCGAUGGUAAGCGAAGAACCUUACCAGGGUUUGACAUCUUGGGAAUUUUGGUGAAAGCCAAAAGUGCCUUCGGGAACCCAAUGACAGGUGUUGCAUGGCCGUCGUCAGCUCGUGUCGUGAGAUGUUUGGUUAAGUCCAUCAACGAGCGCAACCCUUAUGAAUAGUUGAAUUUUUCUAUUCAGACUGCCCCGGUAACGGGGAGGAAGGGGGGGAUGAUGUCAGGUCAUUAUUACCCUUACACCCUGGGCAACAAACGCGCUACAAUGGCCAGUACAACGGGCAGCCAAGUCGUAAGACGGAGCAAAUCCCAUCAAAGCUGGUCUCAGUUCGGAUUGCAGGCUGAAACUCGCCUGCAUGAAGUUGGAAUCGCUAGUAAUCGCAGAUCAGAAUGCUGCGGUGAAUACGUUCCCGGCUCUUGUACACACCGCCCGU